UUUAUAUCUUCAUGAAAAUAAAUUAUAUCUAUACUUACAAAGGUUUCCACUAUCACAUGAAAAGAUCAGAAAUAAAACUAUUUGAUGUAAAAAAAAAAAAAAGUAUGAGGCCAAAAGGCACCCAAUUCAGAGACGAUCGACCGCUACGGCUUCCCGUAGUUUGAUGACGUCAUCAUCCAUUUGACUUCAUCGGAUAACAUUUCGCGCCGAAAGAUAGCCGUUGGGAGCAAUAAUGGCGAUAUCAGCGGGAGAGAUCCGUUAUGUUCUUCUAGAAUGGACUGAGGGUGAGGACGGAGGGGCGCAUAGUAUUUUGCCCAUCGACUGUGUCCGAAAUUUUUCAUUUAAAGAAUUUCUUAUGAGGACCGAAAAAACGGAGAAGCUGGUGGAAUGGCGAAAAGGCCGCCAACCGUGGCCGGUGCACCGAGCCAGAAUUGUUGAAGUGGCAAAAUUUGAAAAAACUCUCAAAACUAAACUGCGUGAGAUCGAGAUGGAGAAAGAAGACACACAAGGGCAAACAAAACGUCCUCACAUCCCAAAUUCUAAGUACAGUGAGCAGCAGGGGCUAACUGAGAAGGCUUCAAAGAAAAAGGUUGACAAUCAAAAGGGAGGGGCUUCCAAAUCCAAGCACCAGGAGGGUGAGAAGCAGGAGGAGGGUCAUGACAUACUUUCAAAGAACAAGCAGGAGAAGGUGGCAGAGGAGGAGGAAGAGGAGGAGGGUGAGGUAGAGGGUGAGGAGGAGGAGGCGCUUCAUUACAGAUCUUCAAAGAACAAGCGGGCCAGCGAAGAGGAAGAGUGCAUUGGGGAUGAAGAGGACAUAAUACCACCCUCUAAGAAAAAGACAGCUGCUGAAGUUAGAAAACACCUGGACGAACAGAUGUGGGAGAAAAGAAAGCUCGACCAAAUGCAAAGAAAUUUGCAGGAGUUGAGGAAUGAACUACAAACUCUUAAAAAUGAAAAUAAACGUCUGAAAGACAUUAUCAUCAAUCAUAUCCCUCAAAUUAAAAGUGACCUCGCCAUUAUUGCUCAAAAGACUGGAAGGACUCCUGUGGAAGAUCUUGAUUCCUCCUUCUUGACUGUUGUGCAACCGAUUCCAGAAAGGAGAUCGAGCACAGAGGAGACCGAGCCCUUUAAAAAGAGUCACAUGGUGACUGAGCUCUUUGGAGAGACACCACAGACUGCAUCAACAGCUGAGACCUCAGCAAAAACACAGAUUGAAGUUAUAAAGGGCUCUGGAGUGUUUUGCAAGGCAGAAGCAUGGAAAGCAGCCCGCCUUGCCACCUCUGCUACUGCCAUGGUGCGGAAUCUACUAAUGGGCACCUUUGUCCUGGAGACUUUGCUGAAAAGCAACCUAAAUGGUGGGAAGCCAACCAGAGGGGAUGGGGAGCAGCUGGUCGCCCUUGACCAAAUUAAAAAGGCAGCCAUUAUUGGCAUCAACAGAGAAUGUAUAAGGUAGGGCACCCAUUAUUUUGACUGUAUCUGCUUAGCACCUAUAAUACCAAUUCAUCGUUUGCUCACUUCUUGAUCCUACCUUUUGUCUUCUUAAGCCACAUUUCUGGGGUAUUGCACUGUAAGGUGUGUUGUCCUCUAUUUUGUAGGACAUACAGUGUUGCAAAUAACUUCAUGGCAUGUUGUCGUCUGAAGGGUUAAUAAAAAAAUCAUAUUCACCCCUCCUUCACCCUUAAACCAUUCUGUGCUGUGUUUGUGCCUUAGUUUGUCUUUACCGGUAAUGUAUUUGCUUGAUUUUAAUGCGUAUCUUAUUUCUCUUUGAGUAAACCUAUCAUGGCAGCUCGCCAGUGGAGUGGGUCAAUGGGAGGCCAUUGUAAAGUAUUUUGGAUGCUACAUUGAAGAAGUGGCCAGCAGCCAGCCGAG